UUCGGGGGAGUCUAUAUGUGUUGGCAACUGACUGUAAAUCAGGAUAUCGCAGGUUAAAUUCCUGUCCCCGAGAA
rnacentral:tRNA from 1 species